GGGCCGCGGGCGGAUGGGGGGGCCCCAACUACCCCUAACCAGCUUUGGGGGGGCCCAGCUUGCAAAAGUUUGAGAACCCCUGCUCUGGAGGAAUAUUUUGGUCUUGCUCUCAAUUUAGUUAUAAGGGUUAACACUACGGAGCGGCCCCGUGGGGCAUCUUGUGGUUUUUUGAGGAAUUGCAUUUAAGAAAACUGGGCGAUUUACGACUGCUAUUUCGCGUUCUGAAAUUCUUCUGAAGUUCAGAACAAACCCCAGAUGAGAGAACUUUCAUGAAUGCCAAAUUUGUUCUUAAAACACCGGAAGUGGAGUUCAGAAGAAAUUCCUUCUUAAAUUCUUCAUAACUGCGUUUGAGAAUGAGGCCCAAUAUCACGUUAUAAGUGAGUUUUCUUAGCAACCGGCAGUGGGCUGCAAGUUUGUCCCGACGCACCCCCCUUACCUGAACUAUUUUUAAAACCAUGCAUGGAGGUUAACCUGCCUUUUCGUCACCACUUGGGUGUGUUCCAGAGUCCUCUGUGUGCUGCUGCUGUUGACAUCACUGCACCUGGCUUCUCACUUAACAGACCCUCUGCACUGGGAUCCCGCAUUGGAUGGAGUACAGGGCGAGUGACCCUGAUGCUGCUACUGUGGCUGCUGGUAACCUCACUGCAUCUGACUGCUCACCUCUCAGACCUGUGCACCUCAUGGGCCCUGCACACUGCCUGGAUUCUGUUGAGAAAUAACACAGUGGCAUUUGUAUUGAUUUAUAUGUAUAGUAUUUCUCCUUUUAAUAUGCCAGGAGUUAGAAAAUACAAAUACGUGAACAUUCUGAGAGCAUUCUUCUUAUGCUUUGUUCUCAUGUUCUCCCAUUUACCUCCACCUUAAAUGUAUGAGUAUUGAAUGUAUCCAAUUGAUAAUGAUAGAAUGGGAAAAUGCAUGUUGGAAAAUACAGGAUGAUGCAGUGUUGACAACAUGCAUAUUAAACAAAAAUAUUAAGAUAAAAACUAUAGGAUUGAAAAGCAUUCAAUAAUAUCUGAGACAAAGUGAAAAAACGAAUUGUAAUUUGCAGGUUGCAGGUCAAGAGAGGCACUUCUUCCCCAUAACUUUUAUCGUUCUUGAACAUUUGCAGUUAUAUUUUGUUCUCAUUGUCCAACUGAUAAUGAUAAAAUGGCCUGCCAACUCUUCAGCGGCCACUAAAUAACAAGUCUAAACUGAAUUAAGCUCGUCUGCCUCAUGUACAUGGCUAUGUCCUUAACUUCUGUCUCUUUAAAUAAGCAUGAAAUGUUUCUCUGUCCCUACCCCCCUUACCCCUGUAACAGUAACCCUACUGUAUACCCACUAAACUGGUCUUAUUUGUGUCAUGUAUUUACCACCGGAUGUCUGUAUAUAUAUUAUGUACAUCUACCAAAUGCAGGCUGUGCACAACACUUGUUGUUUCCCUUCUCCUUCUGCCACACA
rnacentral:lncRNA from 1 species